AUGUUUGAGGGAAACAACUUCCGCUGCGUACUCCUCCCAAAGUCUGGAACAGAGUCGCCUAGAUCUCGUCAACACAACUCGCUCGAUCGGGAAAACCCUCGCUCGCCCGAUCUCACCGCCUCGCCGUCUCCGCUGCUAGUCCGCCUCGCCGUCUCCACCGCCGCUUCGCCGUCCCUGCCGCGGCGGAAGCCUCGCCGUCUCCACCGCCGCCUCGCCGUCCCUGCCGCGGCGGACAUCUCGCCAUCUUCACCGCCGCCUCGCCGUACCCGUCGCGGCGCCCACCUCGUCCUCCACGCCGUGACUGGCUGCUCGUCUACAACUAGCCGGGAAAUCAGAUCUGCAGAGUUUGUUGCUGCUCCAAAUCCUCUGCUUCGACAACUAGCCAAGCUGCACGAGCUGCUGCCGGCUGCUCGGAACCUACAAAUCACACGUGAGUUUGCUGCUACUAAUCAACGUAGUAGUACAACUGCUGUUUGGAAUUUUUGCUGCUACUAG
rnacentral:rRNA from 1 species